UCUGGUCGUCAAUACCAUGUCACUGCAGAAGCUCACUUGGAGGAGCCAACAUGUAUAUCCUCCUGGGGCCGCCAGUAGCACCCAACACAGAAGCCUGCAGGAACCGUCGGCGGUAACACCUAACAACCCGGACCCCAGUGCCAGCUGCCGUGAUGAGGGAGUAGAGGUCACUCGUCAACAGCAACCAGUGGCAAAAGAAUACAACAGCAUUCCAGGAAAUACACACGGAAAUAUUAGGUGUAUUGAGGACUACACCAAAUACACCAGGGGCUGUGAAUGAUGCAAACAAAAAUGGAUCAAAGCAAAAUCAAAGAAAGAAGAUUCUGACAAUCAAUAAUUUAGAAAGUUGUAAAAGUUUUCUAAAAAUAUUAAAAUCUCCACAGAAAUGAGUCUUGAAGUU
rnacentral:misc_RNA from 1 species